rnacentral:rRNA from 1 species
AGUGAACGCUGGCGGUAGGCCUAACACAUGCAAGUCGAACGGCAGCACAGUAAGAGCUUGCUCUUACGGGUGGCGAGUGGCGGACGGGUGAGGAAUACAUCGGAAUCUACUUUUUCGUGGGGGAUAACGUAGGGAAACUUACGCUAAUACCGCAUACGACCUACGGGUGAAAGCAGGGGAUCUUCGGACCUUGCGCGAUUGAAUGAGCCGAUGUCGGAUUAGCUAGUUGGCGGGGUAAAGGCCCACCAAGGCGACGAUCCGUAGCUGAUCUGAGAGGAUGAUCAGCCACACUGGAACUGAGACACGGUCCAGACUCCUACGGGAGGCAGCAGUGGGGAAUAUUGGACAAUGGGCGCAAGCCUGAUCCAGCCAUGCCGCGUGAGUGAAGAAGGCCUUCGGGUCGUAAAGCCCUUUUGUUGGGAAAGAAAAGCAGCAGGUUAAUACCCCGCUGUUCUGACGGUACCCAAAGAAUAAGCACCGGCUAACUUCGUG